GGGGUCAUAGCUCAGUGGUAGUGUGCUCACCUAGCAUGUGUGAGACCCUGGGUUCGGUCCUCAGCACCCCA
rnacentral:tRNA from 1 species